UACUAGUGCACGACACUUUACCAUAGUGACACCAGUGCACCCUCGUAUAUUGGUAAUAUGCAUGUGUAUAAUAUAAAUAUACACAAUAUGACAUAUUAUAUAUCUAUAUUGGUAUAUACAAAUGUAUAUUGGUAGUGUGUGUGCGUGUGUGUGUGGUGUGUGUGUAUGUGUGUGGUGUGUGUGGUGUGUGUGUGUCUGAUGUGUGUGUGGUGUGUGUGUGUGUCUGGUGUGUGUGUGGUGUGUGUGUGUGGUGUGUGUGUCUGGUGUGUGUGGUGUGUGUCUGGUGUGUGUGGUGUGUGUGUGGUAUGUGUGUAUGUGUGUGGUGUGUGUGUGUGUGUGUGUGUGUGGUGUGUGUGUGUGGU
rnacentral:lncRNA from 1 species